rnacentral:rRNA from 1 species
AUUGAACGCUGGUGGCAGGCCUAACACAUGCAAGUCGAGCGGAUGAAGGGAGCUUGCUCCUGGAUUCAGCGGCGGACGGGUGAGUAAUGCCUUGGAAUCUGCCUGGUAGUGGGGGAUAACGUCCGGAAACGGGCGCUAAUACCGCAUACGUCCUGAGGGAGAAAGUGGGGGAUCUUCGGACCUCACGCUAUCAGAUGAGCCUAGGUCGGAUUAGCUAGUUGGUGGGGUAAAGGCCUACCAAGGCGACGAUCCGUAACUGGACUGAGAGGAUGAUCAGUCACACUGGAACUGAGACACGGUCCAGACUCCUACGGGAGGCAGCAGUGGGGAAUAUUGGACAAUGGGCGAAAGCCUGAUCCAGCCAUGCCGCGUGUGUGAAGAAGGUCUUCGGAUUGUAAAGCACUUUAAGUUGGGAGGAAGGGCAGUAAGUUAAUACCUUGCUGUUUUGACGUUACCAACAGAAUAAGCACCGGCUAACUUCGUG